rnacentral:rRNA from 1 species
GACGAACGCUGGCGGCGUGCUUAACACAUGCAAGUCGAACGGAAAGGCCCUGCUUUUGUGGGGUGCUCGAGUGGCGAACGGGUGAGUAACACGUGAGUAACCUGCCCUUGACUUUGGGAUAACUUCAGGAAACUGGGGCUAAUACUGGAUAGGAGCUCCUGCUGCAUGGUGGGGGUUGGAAAGUUUCGGCGGUUGGGGAUGGACUCGCGGCUUAUCAGCUUGUUGGUGGGGUAGUGGCUUACCAAGGCUUUGACGGGUAGCCGGCCUGAGAGGGUGACCGGCAACAUUGGGACUGAGAUACGGCCCAGACUCCUACGGGAGGCAGCAGUGGGGAAUAUUGCACAAUGGGCGGAAGCCUGAUGCAGCAACGCCGCGUGCGGGAUGACGGCCUUCGGGUUGUAAACCGCUUUCGCCUGUGACGAAGCGUGAGUGACGGUAAUGGGUAAAGAAGCACCGGCUAACUACGUG